rnacentral:rRNA from 1 species
UACGAACUGUGCAAACGUUAUUCGGAAUCACUGGGCUUAAAGGUGCGUAGGCGGCUUAUCAAGUAGGGUGUGAAAGCCCCCGGCUUAACCGGGGAAUUGCGCCCUAAACUGACGAGCUGGAGUGGGACAGGGGUGUGUGGAACUUCCGGUGGAGCGGUGAAAUGUGUUGAUAUCGGAAGGAACGCCGGUGGCGAAAGCGACACACUGGGUCUCAACUGACGCUGAGGCACGAAAGCCAGGGGAGCAAACAGG